AUAUAAGUAUUUUGAAAGUGAAUGCUGUAGUUGGUGUAAGUUAAUAGGUGUGCAAAGCUGCUGAAAAUAACUAAUUGUUUCCCUGAUAUUGCUGUAAACAAACUGCAGUUUGUUAAAUGUUGUGUAAGUAACUAUUGCAGUAAUUAAUCUUUGAUUUGGCACAUCUUGUGUAAUCAGUUAUAUGUCACGUACUGUAUUCAGAGCGUUUUCAUUUCCAGUUGUGAAAUUUGCUGAAUGCUUUGCAAGCAUUUUUGUGAGUGGGCUGCUCUGCAUCGUGGUGUGGAUCUCGUGGGAUGGACUGUGUUUUAUGAUGUUGUUUGUGGCUGUUUUGUUCCAGUGAACAGGCUGUGAGAAAGCUACUGAAGGAUCGUGAGCUUGGCUGCUGAAGAUCAGUUUGAGCGAGAAGCAGUGGAAACCGGUCAAAGCCGAGUUUGACCAGGUGUCUGCUGUACACUCAAACACCAAAGCCGAGCUGGACAGUCUAGAGCGCCAAACCUUUCUGGAGGAGCCGAAGAACACGACAAUUGAAAACUUAAAAGCAAAACUAAGUGACAUGCACACUGAACACAGAAACCUCUCUGCUGAUUUUGAGGAGAACAAGAAACACUAUCAGGAAUGUUUGAAUUCUGUGAAGGGGUUUGUCAAACACUAUGGCGUUCAAACAUGGGACAGCCACAGUAGUGAUGGGUAAUGUGCACAGGGAUAUAGCUUCCUGUGAACAGAGGAAGUCUCAUCACGCACAGAUUCACUCAGCACUGUUCACUCAACGCCAGGCUGUCAUGAAGGACACAGAGCUUUCUUUGUUGCAGAAGAGGAUGCACAAAGCCAUGCUAAAAUACUUCAAACACCGCAGCGUCUACAGCAAGGCAGAGCUGGCCCGCUUCCAGACCCUCUCCAACCAGAACAACCAGAAAAUGAAAGCCCUCCAGCUCUCAUCACGGACAUCUGGCCAUUAUAUCACCCACCCCACCCUCUAAAUAUCAUUAAGCUACAUUGGCUAAUGCCUCAUAAAAAAAAAUAAAAAUAAAAAAAAGGUAAUAUUAUAAUACAGCAUUAAGAUAUAAAAUUGCAUUCAUAAACUGUCAAAUCACAAAAAAACUAUUUAGUCUGUAUGAAUGGUACAUUCACUUAUGACAUCUUAAAAAUGUGGCGAUCAUGGCGUAAGGUGCUGAAAAAACAGAAAGACUAUCAUCCAUCUACCACACAUUUACAUGAUGUAGACCAGCAAAAAAAUAGUGCAAGUGUCUAAUGCAUGCACAAAUUAAUGGUCAUUAAAAUUAUAUUUAAAUAAUGAUUAAAAUUAGCAUUGUAUUUAACAUGAUUUUGUAUACCGGAAUAAUGCAGCCGUAAUGUUUGGAUGCUCUAACACAAAAGGCAUGUGGUCUCAGUGGAAGGUGUGCUAUGCACGCUUAUAAUGAGGUGAGCGGCGGUGUGUUUGCGGCUCAGUCAGGGGAGGCCAGCUCUGGAAGUCAGGCUGGUGAAUGGAGCAUGAAGACGAGGAGUUCUUCAAGCUCCUCCGAGUGUGAAGGACAAAAGGAGCAGUCUUACUUUUAAACUUUGUCACAGCUCUGCGUUGAUCUCCUCCCC
ensembl:lncRNA